UACGAAGGGUGCAAGCGUUACUCGGAAUUACUGGGCGUAAAGCGUGCGUAGGUGGUUGUUUAAGUCUGCUGUGAAAGCCCUGGGCUCAACCUGGGAAUUGCAGUGGAUACUGGGCGACUAGAGUGUGGUAGAGGAUAGUGGAAUUUCCGGUGUAGCAGUGAAAUGCGUAGAGAUUGGGAAGGAACAUCUGUGGCGAAAGGCGACUAUCUGGGCCAACACUGACACUGAGGCACGAAAGCGUGG
rnacentral:rRNA from 1 species